GGUUGUAGUGGGUGUAGCGUACCUACUAGCCUACGACGGGUACGGGUUGUGAGAGCAAGAGCCCGGAGAUGGAUUCUGAGACACGAAUCCAGGCCCUACGGGGUGCAGCAGGCGCGAAAACUUUACAAUGCUGGAAACAGCGAUAAGGGGACCUCGAGUGCCAGGUUACAAAUCUGGCUGUCGUGAUGCCUAAAAAGCAUUGCAUAGCAAGGGCCGGGCAAGACCGGUGCCAGCUGCCGCGGUAACACCGGCGGCUCGAGUGGUAACCGUUAUUAUUGGGUCUAAAGGGUCUGUAGCCGGCCGGAUAAGUCUCUUGGGAAAUCUAGCAGCUUAACUGUCAGGCUUUCAGGGGAUACUGUCCGGCUCGAGGCCGGGAGAGGUGAGAGGUACUUCAGGGGUAGGGGUGAAAUCUUGUAAUCCUUGAAGGACCACCAGUGGCGAAGGCGUCUCACCAGAACGGACCUGACGGCAAGGGACGAAAGCUAGGGGCACGAACCGGAUUAGAUACCCGGGUAGUCCUAGCCGUAAACGAUACUCGCUAGGUGUCGGCCACGGUGCGACCGUGGUCGGUGCCGUAGGGAAGCCGUGAAGCGAGCCACCUGGGAAGUACGGCCGCAAGGCUGAAACUUAAAGGAAUUGGCGGGGGAGCACCACAACGGGUGGAGCUUGCGGUUUAAUUGGAUUCAACGCCGGAAAUCUUACCGGGACCGACAGCAAAAUGAAGGCCAGGCUGAAGACUUUGCCGGAUUAGCUGAGAGGUGGUGCAUGGCCGUCGUCAGUUCGUACUGUGAAGCAUCCUGUUAAGUCAGGCAACGAGCGAGACCCACGCCCACAGUUGCCAGCGUACUCUCCGGAGUGACGGGUACACUGUGGGGACCGCCGCUGCUAAAGCGGAGGAAGGAAUGGGCAACGGUAGGUCAGUAUGCCCCGAAUAUCCCGGGCUACACGCGAGCUACAAUGGUUGGUACAAUGGGUAUCUACCCCGAAAGGGGAUGGAAAUCUCCUAAAGCCAAUCUUAGUUCGGAUUGAGGGCUGCAACUCGCCCUCAUGAAGCUGGAAUCCGUAGUAAUCGCGUUUCAACAGAACGCGGUGAAUACGUCCCUGCUCCUUGCACACACCGCCCGUCAAACCACCCGAGUAGGGUCUGAAUGAGAGCGCUUCCUUCGGAGGCGUUCGAAUUUAGGCUUUGCAAGGGGGGUUAAGUCGUAACAAGGUA
rnacentral:rRNA from 1 species